UUUCCACUCUGUUGAUAGUGUCCUUUGAUGCACAAAGUUUUUAAUUUUAAUAAAGUCCAAUUUAUGUGUUUUUUCUUGAAGAUAUCUUUUAACAUAGGCUUUGCAUGAUUAAAACUUUUGGAGAACAGGGCUCAGACUAGACAUAGUUGUGGUGGACUCUAUUCUAUUUGUAGCAGAGCAAAAAGAACAAAGGCUUAGGUUUCAUAACUCACAAAACUGACCUAACUGAUUUGUAUACUUUGGAUGACCCCAUCAUAUGUCCAGAAUUUAAAUUUUUCCUCUUGGCAAUAGAGAGGUACAGGUCUCCCCUCAUCUUCCCUCCUUUGGAUGCUAUAGUAUCCUGCUGGGAGAUGCCAUCAGGGAGUCAGAAGAAAGGUACUCUUUCACUUGCAAAUAACAGUAACUCAAUCUAAUUGUCCCAAGAAAAGAAGCAUUUUAAAAUACAGAAAAAAUUAAAUUUUGAUAAAAAUUCUUUGAUUCAUAUAACUGAAAAGACCAAGGAGAGGUAUCCUGGCUUCAGGUAUAGCUGGUUCCAGGUUCUCAAACAAUGUCAUGGCUCUGCUCUCCUCUGGGUUGACUCCAUUCUCAAGUAGUACUUCCCCUUAUGAUGACAACACAGUGACCAUCAGCUGUUGAUUUACUUCUUACUUUCUCAGCAGCUCCAGGCAGAAGACAAAUUCUUUCUUCCUUAUAGUUUUAAGAAAAGUUUCUGUAUGAUCUUUUGUAUUAAAACUGACUACAUUGUUAGCCCAAUGGCUGAGGAAACAUCAAUGGGUGAUCUGAAGGAUUUUCCUUAUUGAGCAGUUGUGUUCUCUGAUGAGCAACUAUGGUCAAUAUUGACAUUUGUUACCACUGUGGAUUUAUUUUUUCUAUAAUUACUGGCUUCAACUCACAGAUGGAGGAACUAUUGAAGUUGAUGGUACGUUCUCCAGGGGCUGCAUAAUGAGUCCCCAUGCUCACGAGAUGCAAGGGACUUGCUGGAAGUAGUGGAAACCAAAACCCAGAGAAAUAUUUUGUUUGGGGAACCAACGUUUAAGCAUAAUUCACUGCUUACUGUAGUAUUUUAAAAUAAAUAGAAUUAGUUUCAGUAAUCACCAAACUUCCCAUUUUGUAAAAACAUAACAAAGGGAUAGAGUACCAAAUAUGGAAACCAAAGACCCAAGCUUGAGUCCUGGACUCUCCUCUUAUCCACCAUGUGCCUUGGGCAAUGCUAGGGACUGAGUUGUAUCCCCCCAAAAUUCCUACGUCAAAGCCCCACCCCCAUUAUGAAGGUAUUUGGAGAUGAGACUUUUGGGAGGUCACUAUGUUUAGGUGGGUGAGGCCCUCAUGAUGGGAUUAGUGACCUUACAAGAAGAGACACCAAAGAGCUUGUUCUCUUUCUCUCCCUCUCUCUCUCUCUCUCUCUCUCUCUCCCUCUCUCUCUGUCUUAUGAGGACACAGCGUGAAGGAAGCCAUCUGCAAGCCAGGAAGACAAUCCUCACCAGAAACCAACCAUGCUGGCACCCUGAACUAAUGUAUGUACUAUGAAGGCAAAGACGUGGUUUGGGUCACUGCUAUAUCUCCAGCACAGGAACGCUGCCUGGUACACAAUACCCCAAUAAUGGCUUUCCUCUUGCUCCUUUCUGCUUCCUGACCAAACCUGGUGCUCCCCAUGUGGCCCUGCAUGACAUGGCCUGCCCACUCCUCUCAGGAAAUGUUGUUGAGGCGGCUGAUACGAAUACCUCGUGCUCUGACAACUCCAGGAAAGCUGGGCCUCCAGAGAUCUCAGGUGAAGAGAGGGCACCUAGACCACUGCAUGCUGCCAGAUAUUCUGGAGGGUUGGAGACUGGAGCUCCUGCAGGCUGAUUUCCUGACCACUCCAUCCUCUAAUCUUCAGGGGCAUCGAAGCUCCUAUGAAGACUCCACUGCCAGACCAAGUCACCUUAUAAGGAAGAUCCCCCAAGAAGGAACUAUGAGAUAGGAACUAACCUAUGGUGUAACAAAGUGAGACCAGCUGAAGUGACAGGUGGGCAUAUUUGGGGAGUAUCUACAACCCCCUUAUGCCACGAAGAGUUUCUCCAUACAAUAUUUUGGGUCUACACACGACAAUGCAUCUGCAAGGUACAAGUCAUCUUUCAAAAUCACAUUUAUCGUGAGUAUUCACAGGAACCUUUGGACUUCAGUUUUGUGGCAAAAUUGUUUCCCAAUAUGCAUGUGUUCCUCACUUUAUGCCCUACGGCUGUUAAGCAGAGAAUGUUGACUGUCACUUUGACAUACUUACUGAAGAACAGUGUCUGAACAAAUCCUGUGACGCUUUCCCCGAACCCCGAGUUUCCAUCUUGGAGGAGAGCAGUGCUGGCUGUCAGUGAGGGGCGGGUGGGGAUGGACGGUAGUGGAGGAGUCAGAGAAAUCGUUGAGAAUUUUAUGUUUAUCUCUCUUGCAACUACGAUAUCUCUCAUGUCGGCCACCGUCAGCAAAUCACUGACACAUGAGAGCUAAGAAAGAAUCGUUUCUUUCCCUUUCUAUCUUCCUUUGAGUUCUGGCUAUCAUACUUUGCCUGAAACCCUUGGCGGCCUUCUCUGUUAGUCCUUUCAUCCUCCUUACUACCUUUUGAUCCUUUUGUUUCUCCCCAGGCAUAACUUCCACCUGUGCUGUCUUCUUAGAUUCCCCUAGGAAAGGAAUCACAGUUCAAUGAUUCUUACACUGUAGAAUGAAAUCCCCCUGACGUCCCUAUUUUAAGAAACAAAAACCUAAGUUCUCUUAACUAAAAGUCAAAUACAGAAGCCAACUUAACUUCUUACUCAAAACCUGAAUAGAAGUUUAUUUGGUGAAAGCACCUGCACGGCCUUGCAACUAAUUCAGCAUCCACAAGACAGUACUGAGGGGUUAUUCUAUAAGAAUAGGGACUGUCAUCACAAGAGGCACUGACAAUUUUCCCUUGACAAAUAACAAAACAAAUGAAAAUCACUCUCAUGUGCUCAUUGAUGUUGAGAUUUCUUUAAUAUGAAUGACAUAUUUCUGAAGAAGCUAAUAUAUAAUUUUGGUUAAAAGAGAGCUUCUUCCUUUUUUUUCUUUUUUUUUUUUUGCAAUAAGGCAAUAGACAUCAAGAGUUUUCAAAACCUGCACAGUCUUUGACUUCACAGUUCCUCUUCCAGGAAUUUAUUUCCGAUAAAUAAUCAGAAAGCUUUAUAAAGAUAUAUGUACUUCAAAUUUCAUUAUAGCUUUAAAAAAAACCUUUUAUAAUGUAAAUUUUCAAACAUACACAAAAGUGCAAAGAAUAAUGUAACAAACCACUGUGUAUCCCCCACCCAGCCUUACAGAUUAUCAACCUUUUGCCCAGUUCUUGUUUCAUUUAUCCCCACCAUUCUUUUCUGCUGUUGUUCUUGCUGGAAUAUUUUAAAGCAAAUCCCAGCCAUUGUGGCAUUUGACUCUUAAAUAUGUCAGUUUGAAUCUCUAAAACUAAGGAUUUUUAAAAUUAGCCUUACUCUCACAUCACUCCUUUUUUUCCCAAUAAUU